UCAGACGAUGCGUCAUGCAUAUCAAUAAGCGGAGGAAAAGAAACUAACUAGGAUUCCCUCAGUAACGGCGAGUGAAGCGGGAAGAGCUCAAAUUUGAAAUCUUCAAGGUUCUACCUUGACGAAUUGUAGUUUAAAGAGGUGUUUUCUGUUGGAGUUUUGGUAAAAGUUCUUUGGAAUAGGACAUCAUAGAGGGUGAGAAUCCCGUAUUUGACCAUUAUUUCCAGCUUUGUGAUACACUUUCAAAGAGUCGGAUUGUUUGGGAAUGCAGUCCAAAAUGGGCGGUAAAUUUCAUCUAAAGCUAAAUAUUGGCGAGAGACCGAUAGCGAGCAAGUACCGUGAGGGAAAGAUGAAAAGAACUUUGAAAAGAGAGUUAAACAGUACGUGAAAUUGUCAAAAGGGAAGCGUUUGACACCAGUGUUGUUUUCUCGAAAAUCAAUUAAAAAAGGCAGGAUUUUGUGUUGUAUUGACUUUAUCAGCUUUCUGCACUCUUUUCUUGUCUCUUUUUAAUGCACUUUACGUUUAACAAGUCAACAUCAAUUUCUUUUGUUGUAAAAGGGUCAUUGGAAGGUGGCUUUCUUUUCGGAGAAAGUGUUUAUAGCCUUUGGCCUCUGCAAUCGGAGAGAUUGAGGUCUGCAGCGUAGAUCCUUCGGGGUUAGAUACAUUUGUGCUAAGUUAUAGCCUUUCAUAGACAACUUGUUGACUAUGAUCAGUCAUGUAGCUUACUCGCUUAUGCUAUUUUACCUACGCUUAGGAUGUUGAUCUACAGAGCGAGAGU
rnacentral:rRNA from 1 species